CUACAUAACGAAGAGGCUGGAGAUUAUUUAAA
rnacentral:sRNA from 1 species